ACGGAAGGCAGCAGUGGGGGAUAUUGCGCAAUGGGGGAAACCCUGACGCAGCAACGCCGCGUGAUGGAAGAAGGCCUUCGGGUUGUAAACAUCUGUUGCAAGGGAAGAAACAAAUGACGGUACCUUGUGAGGAAGCCACGGCUAACUACGUGCCAGCAGCCGCGGUAAUACGUAGGUGGCGAGCGUUGUCCGGAUUUACUGGGUGUAAAGGGCGCGUAGGCGGGUGAGCAAGUCAGUCGUGAAAUACCGAGGCUUAACUUCGGGGCUGCGAUUGGAACUGUUCAUCUUGAGUGUCGGAGAGGAUAGCGGAAUUCCUAGUGUAGCGGUGAAAUGCGUAGAUAUUAGGAGGAACACCAGUGGCGAAGGCGGCUUACUGGACAAUAACUGACGCUGAGGCUCGAAAGCGUGGGGAGCAAACAGGAUUAGAUACCCUGGUA
rnacentral:rRNA from 1 species